rfam:Drechslerella stenobrocha 248 unplaced genomic scaffold DRE_Scf_32, whole genome shotgun sequence.
AUCUACGGCCAUAGAACGAGGAACACUGGGUAUCCCGUCCGCUCUGCCUUACAUAAGCCUCGUAUCGGGUAGCUAGUAGUGCCGUGGGUGACCAGGCGCGAAUAUUACCUGCUGUAGAUU